UUUAAACUUUGCACAUUGUAUUGAAGCACGUUCAUGAUUUUAAUAAAAGUUUAUUGUAAAUUUGCAGGAUUUGUAUUAUUAUUUGGCACUUUGUUAUUUGGUUCCUCAAAUGGACUAUCUAUUUCCGAUGAAAGGAGUGAUUGCUGGAAUUUUUUUAAAAUGUUUAAACCUUCGGCACUAUUAAGUGAGAUACUUUUGAAAAGGUAGUAUGGUUGAAGACGGAUUGAGAUGGUGUGAUUUGAAUCGGACUGGCAAUGGCGUGAUGGAUUGGAUUUCGUGGAGACGCAACUUUGCUAUAUUUUAAUUUUGUUACUCUUUUGUUUAUUUCUUCAUAAACGCUUCUUUUUGGUGGUUUGUUUUUAUUAAGAGGGGGAAAGGCAUUGUUAAAUUCAUCAUCAGAAAGGA
rnacentral:sRNA from 1 species